AUUGAACGCUGGCGGCAUGCCUUACACAUGCAAGUCGAACGGCAGCAUGAUCUAGCUUGCUAGAUUGAUGGCGAGUGGCGAACGGGUGAGUAAUACAUCGGAACGUGCCCUGUAGUGGGGGAUAACUAGUCGAAAGAUUAGCUAAUACCGCAUACGACCUGAGGGUGAAAGUGGGGGACCGCAAGGCCUCAUGCUAUAGGAGCGGCCGAUGUCUGAUUAGCUAGUUGGUGAGGUAAAGGCUCACCAAGGCGACGAUCAGUAGCUGGUCUGAGAGGACGAUCAGCCACACUGGGACUGAGACGCGGCCCAGACUCCUACGGGAGGCAGCAGUGGGGAAUUUUGGACAAUGGGCGAAAGCCUGAUCCAGCAAUGCCGCGUGUGUGAAGAAGGCCUUCGGGUUGUAAAGCACUUUUGUCCGGAAAGAAAUGGCUCUGGUUAAUACCUGGGGUCGAUGACGGUACCGGAAGAAUAAGGACCGGCUAACUACGUG
rnacentral:rRNA from 1 species